AUAUUGCACACACGGUGCCUAACAAGGCUGAGAAUAUACGUGUAGAUUUGAUCCAGGUAAUACUGGCGUAGAGAUUGUGCAACUAAAGAUUA
rnacentral:ncRNA from 2 species